CUUAAAAUUCUCUCUCUCUCUCUCUCUGUCCCCCUCUCUCACUCUCUCUUUGAAAAAAAAAAAAAAUUUAUUGAUGGGCAUAAGUGUUUAAUAUUACUGUAUAUUUGCUUAUUUUCUGUGACUAUAACAGAAUAUCUGAGACUGAGAUAUUCUAUUUAUUAGAAUUAUUCUGUUUAUUCUGUUCUAGAGGCUGGGAAGUCUAACAGCCUGGCACUGACAAGGACUUCAUGCUACUUCAGCUUAUAGUGGACAGCAGAAGGCAAAUGGACACAAACAAGAGAGUUGGUCUCAUAACACCCCACUCCCUUGUGGUAAACUAAUUCAAUCUUGAAAGAACUACAUUAAUUUACAGGCACAGCGGCUCAUACCAGUAAUCCCUGCAGCUCAGAAGGGUGAGGCAGGAGGAUUGCGAGUUCAAAGCCAGCCUCAGCAAAAAGGGAGGCACUAAGCAACUCAGUGAAACCCUGUCUCUAAAUAAAAUGCAAAAUAGGGCUGGGGAUGUGGCUCAGUGGUCAAGUACCCCUGAGUUCAAUCUCUGGUACAAGAACUGCAUUAAUUCUUUUUAAUGGCUUAGUCACUUUCAAAGUAGCACCUCUCAACACUUAUACCAGGGACCAAAUUUCAACAUGAGUUUCAGAGGGGACAAACCAUAUUCAAACCAUAGCAAAUUAUGCCCCUCAUGUGCCUGGGAUACUAUAAAUAUCUGUAAUAGCUUCUCAAUAUUUAUUUGAUCAAAUAACUGAAAGAAAUCUCUGAGCUCAUAACCCAAUAUCAGUGUAUACACACGUUGGUAAGGGGAAAGGAACUAAAUUGGAACCAGGCUUUCAUACUUUAUUUACAUGCUUUUAAAAUAUUUGUACUUUUUACAAUGAUCAUAUCUUAAAUGCUUAUAAUCUUCUGUGAGUUCUAAAUUUGAAAGGAUUCAGGAUACAGCAGGGAAAUUACCUGAAUGCACUAGUUCUGAGAAGACCUUGGCAUUAUCAGGGCCAAUCCUGCUUUGGAAUCAUCUGAUUGACUUUGAGGGUGGGAGAACAACAAAGUUAAGUAAAUGAAGUCCAAGAGAGCCCCAAGGGAGUUCUCUUUGAGCUGGAGUCUUUGGGACAGCCUUUGUCUUGACCCAAAGGUAUUCUUGAAGCCAUUAGCUCAGGAAAGGCUUAGCAACCUGAACAGCAUCUGCUACCUAGAGCAUCUAGGAGGAGAAUAAGGGUUUGUUGGGGAACUCUUGGUUGAAGACAGGGCACAUUUGUUCCUUAGGACUUCAUGAGGCACUUUGAGUUGAGAGCUGAGGGGUCGAGUCAGCCAGGCCUAGGGGAGGAGGGACUGGCUGAGGUUGUUUGGGAGAAUGUACUUCAGACUCUAAAGGGCCUCUCCCCUGUUAUAGAGCCACAGCUUUCCCAUACUCAACUGUGCCUGGGUGUCUUCUGCAGUCUGGAGCCAGCCUCAUCAUGGUGACUCUGCUUCCACCCACACAGUCAUCAUAGUUCCUGACUUGAGCUAGAUGGAUAUCUUGGGGUUCUGUCCCACAUAGAAGUAUGGGUACAUCACACAACUUCAACCCCAAUAAUUUGUAGACUGAGGCAGGAGGAUAACAAAGUUCAAGGCCAGCCUGGGCAACUUAGUGAGACCCUGUCUCAAAAUAAAAAAUAAAAAGGACUAGGCAUGUAGUUCAGUGGUAAAAGGCAUCCCUGGAUUCAAUCCCCAGUACCAUUAAAAAAAAAAAAAGUGGGUAUGCAAAUAUUUGAAAGUUGCCCUGACUGAUCUUAAGGUCUUCUGCAGGGCACUGUCAGCCAUUCCUCAUUCCCAUCUUUACUGGUCUCACUGGACUUGUGUGACUGUCCAGUUUCUCAAGCAGACUGUUAGAAACAGAGCCUGAUAUAGUCGCCACACGCCCAACACCAGCCCAGAAUCUGGUACAUAAGAAAGACUCAGUGAUGGGGAUCUAGGGUUGUGGAUCAGUGGUAGAGCACUUGUGUAACAUGUGGGAAGCACCACAUAUAAAUAAAUGAAUAAAAUAAAGGCCCAUCAAUAUCUAAAAAAAUUUUUUUAAUAAAACUCAGUGAAUAAACAUGGAGGGGGGUUCAGGGUGUCUCUGUUGCUAGUCCACAAAAUGAUCUGCAGCAGCUCCCCCUCUCUCUAGGUCAAAUAACUGAAGAUUCCAACCCCAUGAAUGAUGGAGAAUCUUUAAUUUGUUUUUAUUUUAGUCCCUUAUCAGUUGUCAGUCCUCAGACAAGUCCCUUAACCUCUCAGAGCUGUACAAAAUGUACCUGAGAGGAGCCAAGACACUUUUUAAACUGAUUAGCUCCACCCAAGCCAUUGCUGACGUGUACAUGGUCCUGAACCUGUUAGAAAAUGUUGUGUCUUUUGGAUCCUUCUUUCAUGAGUGUUGGUGCUGAUGCACUUGAGACUACAGAUUGAGUGGGGUGGAGGGACCUACACAAUCACUUGGGAUCUACCCAUAGCUUUGUCUGCUGUCCCUGGCCUCCACCUGGCCAGCCCCCUGGCAGGCAACAGCAUGGCUGGCCCCUGGCCCAGUCUGUCACAUCUCACUGAGCGGCUUUGCAAAGUCAGUGUUUUUUCAGGUGUGCUCCUCUUGUCUCCCAUCUGGUCUGUGAGCUCCUGGUGGGCAGUGAGCUCCUGGGGCCAGCUCCAAAGGUUGUAUGAGGAGCUGGGACCUUGAACUCCUGAGGGUGCCAAGGUCAGGAAAGUGCCCACCUAUGGUGCUGAAGUACAAGGGGAUGUAGGAGGGUAUCCAUCCAACAAUUGUCUGAUUCCUUAUCUCUUUCUGGAAGACUCAGUGGGGUUCUUUUUCCGCCCCUGCAAGUUUCUGUCAACUGAUUUAUCUCAAAAGGAACUAAGUGCCCAGCUGAAGAUUUGCAGCUCUUCAGCUGGGGCUACUGACAGCUUUUCCCAGAGCCUCAGUUUUGCCAACAGCGAAAUGGGGAAAGGGGAACAUGAUACCUGCCCACUACCUUCUUCAUGGGGCUUCUUGAGUAAUUGAAACUUUUCACCACACGUUAAAAGGCUCAGAUGAAAGGCAAUAAUGGGAUGAAAGUCUCUUGGAGCCAUAUUAAGUUUCUCCCAGGUUUUUGAAGCCUUGGCAGAGUGGCUGGAGGAAGUGGUUCUCCAGCUAACAGGUAGUUGUGAAGCCACCUGGAGGGUGAUGCAGAGGGGAAUUAGCAUGCCAAUCAGCCACACCUAGGGCGUGAGGGCUGUGGGAAACUGAAAAGGGAACCCUUGUUAGGGAUGAAAUUUGUCAUUUCCCUGAGGAGGGAAGACUGGGACAACAUGCUGAGGAAACAGAGCCCAAGGGAUGGAGGCCAGAAAGGCAUCCUUGUUAACCUUGGACAAGGCCCUCACCCUCUCUGAACUUUGGUUUCCAGAUGUUUGAAAGAAGACUGAGUACAGCAGUUCCAGAACCUGGCUGCACAUCAUAAUCUCCUGGGGAUGACCUUCCUUCCUUUCUCUUUCUCUCUCUCUCUCUCUCUCUCUCUCUCUCUCUCUCUCUCUCUCUCUCUCUCUCAACCCCCGGCCCCCUUCUUUCUUUCUUUCUGGUGCAGGGAAUGGAACAUGUUCAGCAAGCACUGUACCACCAACUUACAGACCCAACCCCGGAACUCAAUUCUUCAUUUAUUUCCAACCAAUUGUACAUUGGGAGGCUCUCUUUGGUGGAAACCUGAAAGCCAGCAGAGGGAAGACAGGAGGAGUGACAGGGAUUGUCCACAAACUCCCAAUUUUUUUUUUUUAAGAGAGAGUGAGAGAGGAGAGAGAGAGAGAGAAUUUUUUAAUAUUUAUUUUUUAGUUCUCGACGGACACAACAUCUUUGUUGUUAUGUGGUGCUGAGGAUCGAACCCGGGCCGCACACAUGCCAGGCGAGCGCGCUACUGCUUGAGCUACAUUCCCAGCCCCAAACUCUCAAAUUAUAAGAAGGGGUUUUUGAAGCCUAAAAGCUGGCCUCUGUCCCCCUCUCUGCCUCAGAAAGUCCAAGUUACUCUUCUCCCUGCCCAGAACAGACUUGGAUGAACCCUGGACACAGAAUGGGUCUUUAGACAUGCCCCCCACCCCCCCACCCUCUCCCCAAGGAACUUGGGUACAGAGAAGAAACCCACAGUGCUAGGGCCAAGGACACACAGAGGCUACUACAGAAAGGAUCCCACCCUGUCCUAUGCAUCAUGCAGGAGCAUCCUGUUCAGAGGGGGUCCUUAGGCCAUCUGCCCUAUAUAGCUCAAGAAAGUGAAAAAAAGCCAGUGCUGUAUUUAGAGUUGCAGAGGCUAAGGGGACAGACAGAGAUGACCAAAUGCCUGGUAGGUGUUUCAUUUGUACUAAAUUCUUCAGCACCUGGCCACUCCUGCUCCCCUUUCCCCAGUGUUCUAGGGUUCCCUUACAAAUGUCUGGGGUUUUAUAGAGGGCCCUGAGUCAUGCCCUGGUUGUACAUCACACAAAGCCUGGCAGUCAGAAAGUGGCCUUCAACAGCCCAGGUAGUCCCCUCAUUUCCACUUCUCUGUUAGGAGAUACAGCCAUAUUUUUUAUCUGACAGCUAAUAAAAACCCUAAAUACAUUGGGAAUUUUUUCCUACUGA